GAUUUCUUGGAAUGAGGCGUAGUUUCUUUCGUUUAAGUUGAAGGAGCCAUUGAUGAAGGGAGAUCUUAGUUUGAAGUCUGAGGGCAAGCA